CUCUGUACGGUGUCACCAAGUCAGAACUUGAUAGAAGAGCUGAGAGCAAGUCAGAUAAAAAGCUUUAAGCCCACAACUAUCCAUCAUUCCAAGAGUUCCCAGGGCGGCUAGGGCAGUCUGUGGCUUACUUUGCUCAACUUACAGCUUUCAAUUUUGUGAUAAGGAGAGAACAAAAUGAGAUUGAUAACUGACUUAAAAGGAAGUGUCUGCACGCCUUUCCUCAGCUGAGCAUCUUCUGGAAAACUGAUGUCACCUAGUGUUCUUAGCACCCAUCAAGCCUAUUCCUAAAGGCCACCUUAUUUUUUAAGAUAGGGUAUCUCUGUGAACUUGGCAUUCAAGAGUUUGCCUAGACAAGCUGGCCAGUGAGUCCCAUGGAUCUUCUUUCAGCUUCUCCAGCACUGAGAUUACAGGAUUUUCAGGUCUCAACUGAAUGAGUCAGCCUCCCUUUGAAUAGUCACCAAGUAGUGGUCUACCAGAAGACGCCACCAGAGGACGCCACAUCACUUAGGGAGGCAUUACUGAAUCUCCCAACAGAUUCGUAAUUCCUUUUUGUAAUGUGAGUCUCAGGGUUCAUUAGGUCCAGGCUGGGGCUGGAGAAAGGUGAAGCUCAGUGACACUGUGACACUGCUGACAUCUGCGUAGACAGCCUUUCAGUCUCCCUGGACUUCAUUUUUGUUUUUUUAGUUUGUGUGCUUGUGGUCUUCCUCUCAUGUACUUCUUUUAAGUCCCAUGGGGGAAUACCCAGCUUAGAAUAGGUAACAGAUUUGAAAACCCAGGCUUGCUCUGAAGGUGACCAUAGACACAUGUGCAUUUGCUGAAGAGUCUGGGAAGCUAUUAAAUGUAUUUACAGGCAAAUGAAUGGCCUCACUAUAAGUUUCUACUUUUAUUUCUCCUGCUUUUAUUUCUUGUACAAUCCUUCUAGAUACCCAAUCUGUAGACACGCCUACAGAAGGUAGAGAUGAUGCUCUGGGGUUAUUUGUAGAUACUUCUAGAUCUUCCCAUUUUCCAGGCUAAUGAAAGAGUAAAAAGACAAUCAGUAGGCAUGGGUGACAGAUCCUGUGCAAGCUGGAUGGGUUCUGUUCCUCUGGAGCUUGGCCACAGCCUGGUAUGUGGCCCUCUGGGAUAAAGGCUACAGACAGAAGAGCUCAGAGAUUCCUGCAGCUGUGUGGUCCUGCUCCAACUGUCUUUCUGAGGGGCUGUGUGGGUGUACAGAGCAGUAAAGUGGAGGCAGGGGCCCCUAAUUGCUGCUCUUCCCACGGAUUGCACUCUAUGAGCAAAACCCGGGGCCAGAAGAUCUGAUCUGGUCCCAGUUUGUCCAGUUUAUGGAGUGUGUGUGUGUGGUGUGUGUGUGUG
rnacentral:lncRNA from 1 species